CUCAGGUGACCCUGGGGAUGACAAUGAUGACCCUGGGGGUGACACAGGUGACUCUCAGGUGACUCUCAGGUGACCCUGGGGGUGACUCAGGUGACUCAGGUGACCCUGGGGGUGACACAGGUGACUCUCAGGUGACCCUGGGGGUGACACAGGUGACUCUCAGGUGACCCUGGGGGUGACACAGGUGACUCUCAGGUGACUCUCAGGUGACAGAGGUGACCCUGGGGGUGACAGAGGUGACUCAGGUGACCUUGGAGGUGACCCUGGAGGUGAC